UUCAGACUCAGGGUUUAGGAACUGCCUUGAAGAUCCUCUUCUCUGAAAAGGAAAUCCGAAACCUUCCGGAGAACAGCCCGUCCAAAGGCUUCCAGCUCACUCGGCAGGAAAUCGUUGCUCUUUUAAAUGCUUUUGGAAGGCUUUCUACAAGCAUAAGAGAACUACAGAACUUUAAAGCGUUGUUGCAGCACAGGAGGUAAUGAAGAUUUUUCUCUGUCUUCAUAGACAGAGCAGACUGUAUGAAGCCUUUUAGCCUCGGACACUGGGCAAAGAGACUGCGUGUCUAAGACUUCAAGAAUUCUGAACUCUUUAAGAGAAAAUUCAAAUGUCC
rnacentral:lncRNA from 1 species